GAUGAACGCUGGCGGCGUGCCUAAUACAUGCAAGUCGAGCGAACGGACGAGAAGCUUGCUUUUCUGAUGUUAGCGGCGGACGGGUGAGUAACACGUGGAUAACCUACCUAUAAGACUGGGAUAACUUCGGGAAACCGGAGCUAAUACCGGAUAAUAUUUUGAACCGCAUGGUUCAAAAGUGAAAGACGGCCUUGCUGUCACUUAUAGAUGGAUCCGCGCUGCAUUAGCUAGUUGGUAAGGUAACGGCUUACCAAGGCAACGAUGCAUAGCCGACCUGAGAGGGUGAUCGGCCACACUGGAACUGAGACACGGUCCAGACUCCUACGGGAGGCAGCAGUAGGGAAUCUUCCGCAAUGAGCGAAAGCCUGACGGAGCAACGCCGCGUGAGUGAUGAAGGUCUUCGGAUCGUAAAACUCUGUUAUUAGGGAAGAACAUAUGUGUAAGUAACUGUGCACAUCUUGACGGUACCUAAUCAGAAAGCCACGGCUAACUACGUGCCAGCAGCCGCGGUAAUACGUAGGUGGCAAGCGUUAUCCGGAAUUAUUGGGCGUAAAGCGCGCGUAGGCGGUUUUUUAAGUCUGAUGUGAAAGCCCACGGCUCAACCGUGGAGGGUCAUUGGAAACUGGAAAACUUGAGUGCAGAAGAGGAAAGUGGAAUUCCAUGUGUAGCGGUGAAAUGCGCAGAGAUGUGGAGGAACACCAGUGGCGAAGGCGACUUUCUGGUCUGUAACUGACGCUGAUGUGCGAAAGCGUGGGGAUCAAACAGGAUUAGAUACCCUGGUAGUCCACGCCGUAAACGAUGAGUGCUAAGUGUUAGGGGGUUUCCGCCCCUUAGUGCUGCAGCUAACGCAUUAAGCACUCCGCCUGGGGAGUACGACCGCAAGGUUGAAACUCAAAGGAAUUGACGGGGGCCCGCACAAGCGGUGGAGCAUGUGGUUUAAUUCGAAGCAACGCGAAGAACCUUACCAAAUCUUGACAUCCUUUGACAACUCUAGAGAUAGAGCCUUCCCCUUCGGGGGACAAAGUGACAGGUGGUGCAUGGUUGUCGUCAGCUCGUGUCGUGAGAUGUUGGGUUAAGUCCCGCAACGAGCGCAACCCUUAAGCUUAGUUGCCAUCAUUAAGUUGGGCACUCUAAGUUGACUGCCGGUGACAAACCGGAGGAAGGUGGGGAUGACGUCAAAUCAUCAUGCCCCUUAUGAUUUGGGCUACACACGUGCUACAAUGGACAAUACAAAGGGCAGCGAAACCGCGAGGUCAAGCAAAUCCCAUAAAGUUGUUCUCAGUUCGGAUUGUAGUCUGCAACUCGACUACAUGAAGCUGGAAUCGCUAGUAAUCGUAGAUCAGCAUGCUACGGUGAAUACGUUCCCGGGUCU
rnacentral:rRNA from 1 species